CUGCAGUAUCCUGACUGUGCGAAGGUAGCAUAAUAAUUUGUCUUUUAAUUGAAGGAUGGAAUGAAUGGUUAGAUGAAAAUAAGACUGUCUCAUGUAUAUUUAUUAAAAGUUGAUUUUUAGGUUAAAAAGCCUAAAUUAAAUUAAAGGACGAGAAGACCCUAUUAAGCUUUAAAAAGUGUUAUAAUUGUUAUUAUAUUAUUAGAUGUGAUAUUGGAUUAAUUAUUUUAGUUGGGGCGACUUGGGAGCAAAAUAAACCUCCUUUGUAUUAAUUAAAAUUUGAUUUGUGGUCCAAAAGAUUUUGAGGUAAAAACAAGUUACUAUAGGGAUAACAGCGUAAUUUUAUUUGAGAGUUCUAAUCGAAAAUAAAGUUUGCGACCUCGAUGUUGGAUUAAGAGGUAAUGGAGGUUGCAGAAGCUUUCAUAACUAGUCUGUUCGACUAUUAAUAUCUUACAUGAUCUGAGUUCAAACCGGA
rnacentral:rRNA from 1 species